UACGUAGGGGGGCAAGCGUUGUCCGGAAUUAUUGGGCGUAAAGAGCGUGUAGGCGGUCCGGUAAGUCGGCUGUGAAAGUCCAGGGCUCAACCCCCGGGAGGCGGGUGGAUACUGCUGAGCUUGAGUCCGGAAGAGGCGAGUGGAAUUCCCGGUGUAGCGGUGAAAUGCGCAGAUAUCGGGAAGAACACCCGUGGCGAAGGCGGUUCUCUGGGACGGUACUGACGCUGAGACGCGAAAGCGUGGGAGCAAACAGG
rnacentral:rRNA from 1 species